GAGCGGUAGCACAGAGAGCUUGCUCUCGGGUGACGAGCGGCGGACGGGUGAGUAAUGUCUGGGAAACUGCCUGAUGGAGGGGGAUAACUACUGGAAACGGUAGCUAAUACCGCAUAACGUCGCAAGACCAAAGUGGGGGACCUUCGGGCCUCAUGCCAUCAGAUGUGCCCAGAUGGGAUUAGCUAGUAGGUGGGGUAAUGGCUCACCUAGGCGACGAUCCCUAGCUGGUCUGAGAGGAUGACCAGCCACACUGGAACUGAGACACGGUCCAGACUCCUACGGGAGGCAGCAGUGGGGAAUAUUGCACAAUGGGCGCAAGCCUGAUGCAGCCAUGCCGCGUGUGUGAAGAAGGCCUUCGGGUUGUAAAGCACUUUCAGCGGGGAGGAAGGCGAUAAGGUUAAUAACCUUGUCGAUUGACGUUACCCGCAGAAGAAGCACCGGCUAACUCCGUGCCAACAGCCGCGGUAAUACGGAGGGUGCAAGCGUUAAUCGGAAUUACUGGGCGUAAAGCGCACGCAGGCGGUCUGUCAAGUCGGAUGUGAAAUCCCCGGGCUCAACCUGGGAACUGCAUUCGAAACUGGCAGGCUAGAGUCUUGUAGAGGGGGGUAGAAUUCCAGGUGUAGCGGUGAAAUGCGUAGAGAUCUGGAGGAAUACCGGUGGCGAAGGCGGCCCCCUGGACAAAGACUGACGCUCAGGUGCGAAAGCGUGGGGAGCAAACAGGAUUAGAUACC
rnacentral:rRNA from 1 species